rnacentral:rRNA from 1 species
AGUGGAUGGGGAGCAACCUAGUUGUGCGUGUGUAAAGGUAGUGCCAAGAAAAGCGAUGAUCAUGUUGAAAAUCAAUUCCCGGUACCCGAAACCGACACAGGUGGGCAAGUAGAGAAUACUAAGGGGCGCGAGGUAACUCUCUCCAAGGAACUCGGCAAAAUGACCCCGUAACUUAGGGAGAAGGGGUGCCACCGAGAGGUGGUCGCAGUGAAGAGGCCCAGGCGACUGUUUAGCAAAAACAUAGGUCUCUGCAAACUCGAAAGAGGAGGUAUAGGGGCUGACGCCUGCCCAGUGCCGGAAGGUUAAAGAAGUUGGUCAGUCUUAGGAUGAAGCUAGCGACUGAAGCCCCGGUGAACGGCGGCCGUAACUAUAACGGUCCUAAGGUAGCGAAAUUCCUUGUCGGGUAAGUUCCGACCCGCACGAAAGGCGUAACGAUCUGGGCGCUGUCUCGGAGAGAGGCUCGGCGAAAUAGGAUUGUCUGUGAAGAUACGGACUACCUGCAUUUGGACAGAAAGACCCUAUGAAGCUUUACUAUAGCUUGGAAUUGUGUUCGGGCUUCCUGUGCGCAGGAUAGGUGGGAGGCGUAGAAGGUAUUCUUGUGGGGAUACUGGAGCCAACGGUGAGAUACCACUCUCAGGAGGCUAGAAUUCUAACUUAAUUAAGGACAGUUUCAGGUGGGUAGUUUGACUGGGGCGGUCGCCUCCAAAAAGGUAACGGAGGCGUACAAAGGUUCCCUCAGACUGGUUGGAAAUCAGUCGAAGAGUGCAAAGGCAGAAGGGAGCUUGACUGCGAGAAGUACAGUUCGAGCAGGGUGGAAACACGGUCUUAGUGAUCCGACGGUGCUGUGUGGAAGGGCCGUCGCUCAACGGAUAAAAGUUACUCUAGGAUAACAGGCUGAUCUCCCCCAAGAGUUCACAUCGACGGGGAGGUUUGGCACCUCGAUGUCGGCUCAUCGCAACCUGGGGCGGAAGUACGUCCCAAGGGUUGGGCUGUUCGCCCAUUAAAGCGGUACGUGAGCUGGGUUCAGAACGUCGUGAGACAGUUCGGUCCAUAUCCGAUGUAGGCGUGAGAAUAUUGAGAGGAGCCUUCCUUAGUACGAGAGGACCGGGAAGGACGCACCGCUGGUGUACCUGUUAUGAUGCCAAUUGUAAACGCAGGGUAGCCAAGUGCGGAGAGGAUAACCGCUGAAAGCAUCUAAGUGGGAAGCCCACCUCAAGAUGAGUAUUCUGGUGUAAGGUCACGGGAAGACGACCCGUAAAUAGGCACGAGGUGGAAGUGCAGAGAUGUAUGAAGCCGAAGUGUACUAAUAGACCGUCGGCUUGAUC